rnacentral:rRNA from 1 species
AGCGGCGAACGGGUGAGUAACACGUAGGUAAUCUACCUUCGAGACUGGGAUAACCUGUCGAAAGACGGGCUAAUACCGGAUAAGACCACGAAAGCCCAGGCUUUUGUGGCAAAAGAUGGCCUCUGCUUGCAUGCUAUCACUCGGGGAUGAGCCUGCGCGCCAUUAGCUUGUUGGUGGGGUAAAGGCCUACCAAGGCGAAGAUGGCUAGCUGGUCUGAGAGGAUGACCAGCCACACUGGGACUGAGACACGACCCAGACUCCUACGGGAGGCAGCAGUGGGGAAUAUUGCGCAAUGGGCGAAAGCCUGACGCAGCGACGCCGCGUGGGUGAUGAAGGCCUUCGGGUCGUAAAGCCCUGUCGGGAGGGAAGAAACCUCGGCGACCCAAUACGUCGUCGACUUGACGGUACCUCCUAAGGAAGCACCGGCUAACUCCGUGCCAGCCGCCGCGGUAAUACGGAGGGUGCAAGCGUUGUUCGGAAUUACUG